AUUGAACGCUGGCGGCAGGCCUAACACAUGCAAGUCGAGCGGAUGAAGGGAGCUUGCUCCUGGAUUCAGCGGCGGACAGGUGAGUAAUGCCUAGGAAUCUGCCUGGUAGUGGGGGAUAACGUCCGGAAACGGGCGCUAAUACCGCAUACGUCCUGAGGGAGAAAGUGGGGGAUCUUCGGACCUCACGCUAUCAGAUGAGCCUAGGUCGGAUUAGCUAGUUGGUGGGGUAAAGGCCUACCAAGGCGACGAUCCGUAACUGGUCUGAGAGGAUGAUCAGUCACACUGGAACUGAGACACGGUCCAGACUCCUACGGGAGGCAGCAGUGGGGAAUAUCGGACAAUGGGCGAAAGCCUGAUCCAGCCAUGCCGCGUGUGUGAAGAAGGUCUUCGGAUUGUAAAGCACUUUAAGUUGGGAGGAAGGGCAGUAAGUUAAUACCUUGCUGUUUUGACGUUACCAACAGAAUAAGCACCGGCUAACUUCGUG
rnacentral:rRNA from 1 species